rnacentral:lncRNA from 1 species
GGCCGCCACAGCUUGUUUUGGCUGGGAAGCGUGGGAUUCGUUUCAACAGGUCGAUCGACAAAGGCCAGUGAAAACAUGGGAAGAAUUGAAGAGUUUGAUGUUGGGUCAAUUUCGUAUGAAGAAGAUCGGUGAGGAAUUUUCAGAGUGUAAGCGUGGGGAAUUGGGGAAGAAAUGGGAUGAGCAGGAGCAGGGAAGGAUAGAAAAUGGAAAGGCAAAUACCUAUUUUGAAGCCUACAUCAACUCUAAGAUUCUAUACAAUUCUGAGGAAAUUGUGGCAAGUGCAGGCAGCCAAAAGCUAUGGGAGGAAUCCACUUUCAGAGACAACCAGAGAUUAAUAACGCUAUGGCCGACAACAGCAGAUGAAGUCCUGUAGAAGAAUUUCUUCAAUGGGCUGAAAUCGUUAGUAAGGACAGAAGACAACAGGCUUAAACCAACGUGUUUGGGCCAAAUUAUGGAAUUGGCCCAAAGGGGUAAAGAUAAAAAGGAUUCUCUGAAGAAAGCCCAAUCCAAUUUUGGCCCAUAUAAGGUUCAAAUUAAUAGCUACAGCCCAAGACCCCAUUAUUUACUUCUCCAAACAAAGAAGAAGAUCCUUCCAAACUAAUACCACAUAGUCACGACAUCUCUCAAUUCAACAACCAUCACCGUGCUCUACUUCACAGUGGCGACCAAAGGAGCACCGCCAAUCAAGAAGUUGACUGAUGCCGAGCUACAGAUGAAAAGAGAGGAGAAGGGGACGGAAGCUACUUUACCUAAAACCACCAUCACCUCUAGAACUCUACCUAAAUCUGAUGAAACCGAAGCUGGCCUAAAACACAGGGAUUACUGGGGGGUUUUCCAAAAACAUAUCUCUUCCUUACCAACGUUUCCAUGGGAGUUACUGAAGGACUAUUAUGUUAAUGGGUUUCAACCCAUGCUAUGGGAUGACAGAAGCUUAAAGCUUCAAAGAUUGGGCCGAAUUUUGAAAUUGGCCCAAUGGGGGGAGGAAUCGAGGGACUUAGUGACGAACCGCUUCUGGUCGUCACAUGAGGGAACCAAAGAAGAGCUAUUCCUUGCUGUCCGACUUGAAGAGUAUUACCAAGUGUUCGAGGCGCUUGCCACAUCGUUGUUGGAGAUCUCAAAUGCGUAGCCUGAAGGGCUUUUUGUUAAUGGGUUGAUUCCAGGUGAGAUUACACAAGAGCAAUUGAUGAAGCUAGAGGAAUUGGGAUAUGAUAUGGAGGUGGGCCGACAAGAGGACUCCAUAAUAUUGAUCAAGCCAGCUAAAGUUGGAAUGGACUUAAAUGAAAUAAAGAUAAAUGGCCCAACAAUGGCAUACAACCCUAAAAACUAUCAGAUUACUCCAAUUUCAAGCCUCGAUCUACUGCACUUAAGGAAACGACUAUACCAUCGAUGGAGGGAGAAGAAUACAAUCGAACAUCACACUGAAGAUGCACACAGCUCUCUUCUCAAUUGAUUUGAAAGGUUUCAUCAAUACAAACAUAGAGAAUUUUACAUUGCAGAAGAAAGUUAUGCUGGAGAUUAUGUUUCUCAGCUAUCUCAAAUCAUAUUCGAAAGAAACAAGGUAAUUCAACAUCCAAUAAGUAGUUUCAAGGAAUCCAUGGUCGGGGAUGCUGUUAUUAAUGAUUACCAUGAUUACAUUGGCACAUUCCAGUAUUGGUUGACUCCUGGAUUAAUUUCAAAUUCUACUUAUAAAGUUUUAAGGGU